GGCAGAGUACCAAGAGCUUCCAUCAUGGCAUAAACCAUUCAAGAAAUAUCUAUGCCCCGCUGUAAAGCGGACACAUAUUAUGGGUAGUGAAGUGAUACAAGUUUACUAUAUUAAAAGCAGGGUUCAAUAAUCCCUGUAGAAAAGUGACUAGAAGGGUGAUUUUCUUCAAUCAUUUAACAGUUUCUUUUAUCACAUUGUACGGU